rnacentral:rRNA from 1 species
GUUGAUCCUGGCUCAGGAUGAACGCUGGCGGCGUGCCUAACACAUGCAAGUCGAACGAAACACUUCUGAUUGAGAUCGUCAAGAAUUGGAUUGACUUAGUGGCGGACGGGUGAGUAAUGUAUGAGCAACCUGCCUUUCAGAGGGGGACAACAGUUGGAAACGACUGCUAAUACCGCAUAAUGUUUCGAGAGGGCAUCCUUUUGAAACCAAAGGAGCAAUCCGCUGAAAGAUGGGCUCAUAUCUGAUUAGUUAGUUGGUGAGGUAACGGCUCACCAAGACUGCGAUCAGUAGCCGGACUGAGAGGUUGAACGGCCACAUUGGGACUGAGAUACGGCCCAGACUCCUACGGGAGGCAGCAGUGGGGAAUAUUGGGCAAUGGGCGAAAGCCUGAACCCCAGCAACGCCGCGUGAAGGAAGAAGGUCUUCGGAUUGUAAACUUCUUUUAUGAGGGACGAAGGACGUGACGGUACCUCAUGAAUAAGCCACGGCUAACUACGUGCCAGCCGCUGC